UACAGAGAGUGCAAGCGUUAAUCGGAAUUACUGGGCGUAAAGCGCACGUAGGUGGAUGUUUAAGUCGGAUGUGAAAUCCCUGAGCUUAACUUAGGAAUUGCAUUCGAUACUGGGCGUCUAGAGUAUAGUAGAGGGAAGUGGAAUUUCCGGUGUAGCGGUGAAAUGCGUAGAUAUCGGAAGGAACAUCAGUGGCGAAAGCGGCUUUCUGGGCCACGACUGACGCUGAGGCGCGAAAGCUAGGGGAGCAAACAGGAUUAGAAACCCUAGUAGU
rnacentral:rRNA from 1 species